UGAACUGUUAUUGAAAGUGUUCUUCUUCACUGACUACAUUAUGUGAUAAUUCACUAUGUUUUCUACGAAUUGAGUCACAUAGUUUUUUAAUAUUUUUUUGUAGCACACUCCACUCUUCCAACUCUUUUUUAUGCAUUUUUAUAUUAUGACAAAUCUAUCAAAACCAAGCCUGUACCGACCAUUGUGUGUGUCACAUUCUUUAUCAAAACUAGAAAUUCAUUAUUAUUAUUUCUCAAUGCUUGAGCACAUAAUGCACUGAAUUCACCCUUACUCAUAUCAGGGUAUACAUGAUCAUGAUAUAUAUGUUGUAGGUUACAAUUAUCCUGUUUGAAAGCAACAACUAGAUUACAAUUAUCCCUAAUCAAUUGUUUGGGAAUACUGAGGUAAGUUUGACAAAUGUAAAAAAAAAAUCAAUUUUAUUGUGUCUUCCUAUACUAAAAUAGUUACAAAUAUUUUGUUGAUUCUCCAUACAAAUAUCAUCAAAUAUCAUAACUGAAUUUCGAGGCAUAUAAUUUUUGGUUGUUGAAUUUCAUCAUUAUCUUUGUACAAGUUGAAUUUAAUUUCAGGUAUCUGUUGCAUAAUCUUUUUCAAGGGUUGGUACUUAUCUUGCUGAUGUGAUUCAGUAAAUAUAUUCAAGUGUGAGAAUUUAAUCCCAUUCUCUGCAAAUAAUGAAUUGGAAACUGUAUUCGUUUUCCCAGAAUUACUUGGGCAACACACAAUACAUCUUAUAGAGUUUGAGGACAACUUUGGCCACCAAAAAUCCAGGACGACCAGGAAAUUCGGAUCACCACCAACAUCUUGUAAAAACUCAGCAUUACCAGAUCUACAAUGGACCACAAGCCACAAGUCAGAUUGCUUUUCUCUCUACAUAAAAAAAUGGUGACAAGUAUUAAUGGUGAUGUUAUCUUAUAUAAAUGUACAGAAUUCUUGACUACUGAUAUUAAGAUACUAUUUGGACAAUUUAGACCAACUAUUCUGGAAAUAAUGCUUUCAAAAUCGAAAAAAAAAUUUAAUGGAAAUGCUAAAUGGUAAGUUAGUUUACACGUGAAAUUAAGAAAAAUUGUAACUGAUGUUGAU